CAAAGCCGUGACCUCUCAAUGUGAAGUAGUACUCGACCUGUAGAGACUCUCUGAGCUAAUUGGUGAAACCAAAACUUAAAAUCCAAGCUGUCUCCUCUUGAAGCACAUCUGCUUAUUUCAGUGUACCAAAUCCAUAUGUAGAUGUUAUAUUUGAGGUACAUACACAGGUUUUCUGGUUCAGUUCCAUUGUGCAGCACCUUGAACAAGUGUCUUCUACUUAAGCCUCAGGCUGACCAAAGCUUUUAAUGGGAAUUGGUAGAUGGCUACUGAAAAGAACUUAUUGUGUAUGUGCGUGUGUGUGUGUUCCUUUGAUGUGGUUGAACAACCAAUCCCAACCAGUCGGGAUUCACAGUAUGUGUUGCACUAUUCAUCCUUUCAAUUGCUAAAUACAAAACGUGACUCGCAAGGCCUCCAUUCAGGUGACUUUUCAGAGUCACCAUCUCACCCUUGUACAUCAAUCUGUCACAAGGUUAUCCAUUUACAGCUGAGUGGACUGGAGCAACAUGAAUUGAAGUGUUUUGCUCAAGAACACAACACACAGCCGGCCCUUGAAUCAAAACCAUGAUCUUGUGAUUGUGAGCACAACACCCUAACAAGCAGGCCAUGCACCUUAACAUGUUAUUGGAGGAUUGUUGACUCUCUUGAGUUCCUGUCCUUUGAUGUGUUUUGUUUUCUAUCCUGCAGCAUGUCCAAUAAAUUACCCUCCUUGCCAAGCAAGCUUGGUGGGGUUAGUGGUUUAAUUGCCAAGGACCUGACCAUGCAACAGGUUGUAUUGGGUUACACAUCAUCUGUAGUGCUUGAGAGUGAACUGUCUUGACAUCACAUGAUGGUUGUAAACAAGCAUGGUUUGUUUCCAAUCUUCUGAGAAAAACAUGCCUGGUUCUGGAGACAUAUUACUUUCCUGGGAAACAGGUGAGAGUUGGCAACAAGAAGGGCCUCCAGCUAUAGAACUAUACCUUAAUGAAUUCCAUAUGAAUCGAGCAGACAUUACAAUGAUGAUGAUGGUAAUGAUAUCAAUAUGUCUGCAUGUAUUGGUGAAAAAGAGA